AUGAGUUUAUCUAUGCAGUUGAUGGAUGUAGUGACAGCAUACUUAUAUGGGUCACUCAAAUCGGACAUAUAUAUGAAAGUCCCUGAAGGACUUAAAAUGCCGAAUCCAAAAUCAAAUAGCAACGCAUAUUGUGUAAAAUUACAAAAUUCACUCUAUGGCUUAAAACAGUCGGGUAGAAUGUGGUAUAACCGACUAAGUGAGUUCCUUAUUCAGAAAGGCUACUCAAAUAAUGAUGAUUGCCCUUGUGUAUUUAUAAAGAAAUCCUCAAAUGGAUUUUGCAUCAUCUCUGUGUACGUUGAUGACCUCAAUAUCAUUGGGAGUACACCUGAUAUAGAAGAAGCACGCAAUCAUCUAAUGGCGGAAUUUGAGAUGAAAGAUUUGGGAAAGACCAAAUUCUGCUUAGGCUUACAGCUUGAGCACCUUCCCUCAGGAAUUUUAGUAUACCAACCUGCUUAUAUUCAAAAGGUUUUGGAGAAAUUUAAUAUGGAUAAAUCAUAUCCAACCAAGACACCCAUGGUUGUCAGAUCCCUUGAUAUGAAUAAAGAUCCUUUUAGACCUCGGGAUGAUGACGAAAUAUAUUAG
rnacentral:rRNA from 1 species